rnacentral:rRNA from 1 species
UCCGACCUCGGAUCAGACGAGACUACCCGCUGAACUUAAGCAUAUCAGUAAGCGGAGGAAAAGAAACUAACAAGGAUUCCCUCAGUAACGGCGAGUGAAGCGGGAAGAGCC